rnacentral:lncRNA from 1 species
UUUCAAUUCUUUUCUUAUAGAGUCGUUUCUCCUGCCUCUCUCUACCCUUUCACCUCCUACUACCAGAACAUUCUCUCCUCCCAUGGUUUCUCUGCAACCUAAAACUAUGAGACGGACAGGCUUUCAUGUUCUCCCAAGAACUAGACAAGGUUUGUUGCUUUCUUGCUGCCAUUUUGGUUUUCUUAUUUAUUUUGGAUUAUGAGUGAUUUUAGAGUGUAGCAUUGUUGUUCUUGGAUUUUGGGUUUGUGUUUUUUUUUUCAAUUUGCUGUUCUUGGUUCUAUUUCAUAGUUUUUAUGUGAAAUUUAGACAGCUAGUGGGCCAUUUAGCAUGUUGAGGAGUUUUCUUCAGCUUUAAUUUCAAUAAAAAUUAAUUGUUCCAUUUGCGAUGAGACGUGGAACUAAGACCUGUUUCUUUCAGGGUUGUGAUCCUUUUGCCAUGAGAGGUGAAAAAAACAAGGCAGAUAAAACCCCGAUUCUUCCACUCGAGAAAUCUGCGAAAACUCUGAGGCUGCCAAUGGCAGUGUUGUUCAUAUCCAUGCGGUUUGUCACCAAGAACAAAACAUAGACCCCAGAAAGCUUAAACGGCCAGAUCUUUUCUCUCUUCUUUUCUUUAACCUACCUAUAUACUUCCUUUUCUUUUCCAUGUCACAGAGAUGUUGUGUAGGCCAUUUCAAAUCGUUUCUCUGCUCAGAAAUUAAUAGUCAGGAAGCAUCAACAUCUUUGUGAUAUGGAAAAGAAGAUGAAGGAGUAUUUAAAUUUAAUUUCAAAAGAAGAGAGAGAGUAAAUAGAUCAAUAGUUUAAAAGCAUUUAAUUGAUGCUGCAGGAAGGGAGUUACCUUUUUCUUCAUCCAAUCUAAGGCAAUAAGGUAAUUGUUCGAUUUAUAUAAUUAUACUUCAGUUUGGUGUUGGUAAUGGUAAUGAUGACAACUAAAAAGAUUGUUAUUUUUUUAAAAUUCAGAGGUGGUGACCCAAUGAUAAUGGAGUCACCAACGUUUACUAGUCAAAAUAUGCAUAAUUUUUAAAAUAGAUCAUUUUUGUAUAUAAUCAAAAGUUUUGGGUUAUUUUUAUAAAAAAACCCAAUUCCAUCAUUCAAUUGAUAGAAAACUACAAAAACAGGUAUUGAUUAAAAUUCAAUUCGAUUAUGUUUAAAUUGCCUUGUAAUUCUUCAAUAUGUAAUGUUGCUUUCAAAUAGCUUAAACAGAGGGGAUUAUGGCUAGUUAGAGAGACAAGGUAAAUGUUUAGAAUUCGAUAUGUUUUAUUUUUAAUGGCAUGUAUGUACCAUAUUAUUAUUAUUUUUUAAAUAUGUAAAAGAUACAUACUAUAGGUAGGAAGUUGGAACCCAUCGUGUUGAGUAUUUUCUAUUUGUAUAUAUCCGUAUAUAUACAUUAUGUGUUAUUCAUUUAAAGUUUGUUUAGUGUAUUGAUAUCUUCAAUCUGAGAGGCGAUGUAUUACAUGCACGACCAGGUUGGUAAUGUUGAAACUUUUUGAAAAAUAUGGUGUUGCUUCUUUGAAAAAUGGUAUGGGAAUCUGAAAUCAAUAUUGGUAUGUCAUGCAUGACUUGUCCAUGUCCACUUCUUCACCUACCAUAAGAAGUUACCGAGCUAGAAAUGGGUGGAUUGCUACACAAGGCAUCAACAAUUCAUAAGUGAACUCCGAGAAGCAUGGUUUUUAUAUUAAUUUGAGUUGGACCGGUUAGGAUGUUUAUCACAGAAUGAAGACACAUUGCUUAAGGAAACCAAAUUAUAUCUCUCAUGUUUCAUAUGAACAAGCUUUUGCCUAGAAAGUCCUUGAGUCCACUGGCAUUGCUUCAGGGGCUGUAUUUAUUUUUGUCGUUUUAGCCAUGGUAAACAUAAAAACCAGAGUUAGCCUGAGUAGUUUACGUCUUACUUUUUUUUUUUCAUUGCUUGUUUAUGUGUCAAUUAAAAAAAAAACAGCAUGCACAUGUCAUUGAAUAGAACUAUACAUAUAAGCAUGUGCCUUGUUUAUAUAUUAAGUAGUUUUUAUACCCGAAUAUGGUGUACAUAAUAUGUAAAGUUAUAUUUAUUAAUUAGAUUUAG